rnacentral:rRNA from 1 species
AUUGAACGCUGGCGGCAUGCCUUACACAUGCAAGUCGAACGGCAGCACGGGAGCAAUCCUGGUGGCGAGUGGCGAACGGGUGAGUAAAGUAUCGGAACGUGCCCAGUCGUGGGGGAUAACGUAGCGAAAGUUACGCUAAUACCGCAUACGAUCUAUGGAUGAAAGCUGGGGAUCGCAAGACCUCGCGCGAUUGGAGCGGCCGAUAUCAGAUUAGGUAGUGGGUGGGGUAAAGGCUCACCAAGCCGACGAUCUGUAGCUGGUCUGAGAGGACGACCAGCCACACUGGGACUGAGACACGGCCCAGACUCCUACGGGAGGCAGCAGUGGGGAAUUUUGGACAAUGGGCGAAAGCCUGAUCCAGCCAUGCCGCGUGCAGGAUGAAGGCCUUCGGGUUGUAAACUGCUUUUGUACGGAACGAAAAGGUUUGGCCUAAUAAGCUGAGCUCAUGACGGUACCGUAAGAAUAAGCACCGGCUAACUACGUGCCAGCCGCCGCGGUAA